GGAAAGAUGCUCGAGUGGUUGAAGAGGCACGCCUGGAAAGCGUGUAUACCCCUAAAGGGUAUCAGGGGUUCGAAUCCCCUUCUUUCCG
rnacentral:tRNA from 1 species